GUCACCUUGUUUUGUUUGUCUGAACAGCACAGCUGAAGUCGGGACUUCUGGAGAGCUACGUGUAGUCACAGAGGUUAAGCUAGCUGCUACCGAAUGGUAAGUUUUCCAUAUAACGGUGUAGACAGGCAGUUUGAAGGCCACUGCAGUGACCCUGGCACUGCACCAACCUCGAGGUUUUUCCCCGAGGCUUCUGCUUUCGCAUCAGGCCCACCAUCCUCCGCUCAUGACCCCCAUCACCUACCCUGAGGAGACACUUGCCAGGUGAAAAAAGCACGUAACAGGAAUUUGAAGGACCAGGUCGACUGUAUGUGCGCUCCCCCGAGCAAGGUUGUGUUUGUCUGAUAUGUCCGUCCUUUUCGCUCAUUUUGUAAAUACAAGGAAGGUUAUUUUCUUCCAACUCAACCAGGAACAGGGAUGCACUAGCUGAUACAUAACUAGCAGAAUGGAGUUGCUUUUAAUGAGAUUUUACUGCCUAGUCCUAUUAAGUUAACUUCGGCUGUUUUCAGAGAGUGAGGAAACAGGUAUCCUUGUUUUAGUAACCUUAGGAGACAUUUUUACACUGUUUACAAGGGAACAUAUUUUGUAAACAGAACACAUUAACACAUUUAGUUAAUGUAAAAGAAAUACCAAGACUCUAUUAACUUUAAAGGCCCUUCGGUUGGAAAAAAUAUGAUGUCACAUGCUUCAAUGCACCAAUCAGGAUUUAGUUUUUGAGUGUGAAAAUCAUAAUAAAUAAUAAAGGACUUUUAAUUCUAGCUUA